rnacentral:misc_RNA from 1 species
AGCAGAAACGAGAGCGCAAGCUCUGCUGGCGUGAACCGGCGAAGGCGCGAAAGCCCGAAAGCCGUCGAAACCUGCCAUGCCCAGUAAGCCACACAGCCGAGCGCUGUUCGUCAAGGCGGAUGGCGGCCCCAUGUACUUUUCAAUGGUGCCCUGCUCGGAGCGAAAGGAGAUACGCGAGCUCAUAGAAAAUGGAGGCGGAGUUCUUUUGCAGCCGGAUAAAAAUCCCGACGCCGUCCGCUUGGUUCCCACUUACAUUUCAACGACGGAAGGGCCCGAUGACGCGUUCUCUGCCACUUACAUACGUGCCUGCUGUUCCAGCAACAAGCUCUUUCCUCUCAAAGAAUUCAAAAUUCCGAGAGCGCCAGCUGCAGAGACAGUCGACGACGGAGACGUCAAGGAGCGAAAACUGCUCUCCGUUCGCUCAAGACGCGAGUACACUCUCGGCGAACAAAUUGCGAUAGCGAAGUUCGUAGCGAAUAAGCGCGGUGUCUGUGUCCAUGGCAACGAGGUAUACAAGGAAAUGGCUGCCGCUUGUGUGGUGCCUGGCGCACACUCGUGGCAGUCCCUGAAGCAGCAUUACCUCAAGAAAAUACUCCCGUGGAAACACCUGUACGAGUCACCUGACGCGAGUAAACUCAUCACCAAGAGACACGCCCGUGAGGCACAAGAAUCGCGUGACGCUUCGCCGAGCGACGCUUCAGAGGCUGAAUCAGUUAUCGUCGAAGACAGCAGCAGCGAUGACGAACAGUUGCCCAAGCCACGGUCGACUACUGCCGGUGGAGUCGAAGACGACUGGAAUACAGAAACUGAAGUUGUUGCGGAAACAGAAAGCCAAGGUGCAUCGUCUUAUUCGCAGGGCCGCGACACACCAGCCGUGAGACAACGUUCCACUGGAAGGGGCAAAAUGAAACGCAGGAAGCUAUUGCUGUCUACUGCACUUUUUUCGAGCACUCACAAGGGAAGCUCGGAUGAAAGCUCCCCUAGACACAAAAUGAAUAUCCCGGCUCCGGGGAAGAACAGCCACGACGACAGCAUUGCAGCUGCUAGCGAAAACACUGAAGUUGUUCCCGAGAAGUCUGUGAUGCCUACACCUCCAAGUGUACAGAGCAAGACGUUUCCUGGCAAGACUUCUAGUAUCCAAACACAACCUGAGCCUGGUAAGCGAAAUGAUGGUGUGGAAAGAACAGAUUCAAAAACUGCUGCAGUACUGGAGACCACUUCUAGCAAGAAACGGGUGCUGCGAUCACCACGAAAGAAGUCCAAGAAUGCAAAGCAGCAGGAGACACCUGCUGAUCAUCGCAGUGCACAUUCAGAGUGUGAGAGUACUUACGCUCAUAGUCUACCCCACAGCGAUCUCUCUGAGGGUCUGUGCGUCUCGGACAGUGUCGGCAUGCAACAAACCACCCAGUCAUCGCCACAAAAGAAAGUUGGCACCCCAACUUCCCAGAAGCAUCCUAGCGACCGUCUUAGCCCAUCACUGCUUUCCCAUAGUCCUGACUGCACUGCCUCGGGAGUGCUUGAAGAGCAGAUGUCCCGUGCCAGCAAGCUUAGGUCCUUUCGGUUGCCCACAAGAAAGCGAGGAAGUGCUGAAUCCCAAGCAAACCUUGGCACUAGUUUGAGCACACAGUCUACAUUUCAAUCAACGUACAAUGACGCUGCAGCAGUGGACAAAUCUCCUGGCGUAGAAGCUUCUAGUGGGAAAAGGCCCUCGCGAUCGUCCCGAAGCAAACGGCAGAACACAACACGGCAGAGUGAUGUUGACGGCCAUUUGGACGAGCUGCCGCACUCGAAGUCACCUGAUGGCAUCGCAACAACAAAGGCCUUACUUUCUUCACCCGAGUCUGUCUACAACACAGCAGAAAGCGAGGGCACACCCCAUGGCACUAAGCGCAUAGGGAAAGAUGGCAAAAAGGUACUCUCAGCACAAAGACAGCAAGCAGAGCCACAUUCAACAGCCAUGAAAACACGCAGGAAAGCAUUGCGAGUGCCUGCACUACGUAGGAGUGGUAAAACUUCACCACCUUCUAGUGAUAACGAACGCUUGAGCAGCACUCGAGCUGCAGGUUGUAAAAAGGUACCGGCGUCGAAGCGAGGCAUUGCCAGCAGGACAUUGGGUUUUGACAGUGCUGAUGAUGCCCUGCUUGCGAGGAUUGCAGAGCAAGCGUCUGCGCUUCGUGUUUCAGCUGAGGGCAGCUCUGAAGAGCAAGAUGAUGCAACCACAAUUACGCUGUCAAGCAGCAGCCACUCCGAUGAGGACUCCACUUCGGAUGACGAAGUAGAAAAUGUGCAACGGGAGCUCUUCAGUCUCCUCGGUGCUCUGAGAGAAGCGAAGAGCCGGCCGCCACACACCACGUGCCCGCCGAAGUGUACAUGUCCUCUCACGAGCUGGUACGCCCAGUCCACACGGGCAGCCGUAUCGCUCAGCGCCUUUCUGGCCUUCCACGACGCACCGCUUCCGGACCAGCAAGGAGGGGUCACCGACCCCGUCGUGGCCAUGACACUGGAAUGCAUGCUGCGCCACCUCGAACAGGGUGCCAACGAAGACGACGGCAGUGGUUUGCGGUGAACGACGCUUUUCCAAAGCCCGCACUCUAUCGCUGCCCCAGUGAAAAGACACGAUUGUGUGAAGCGAUGUUCUGAAAUUUGUACUGGUGACUCUGAUGACAGUGCUCCACUAAAUGCACCAUGUGCAGUGUCGUGAACCUGUCACCAUUGGAAAAAAAAAGUGACUUAGCCUUUUAAUCGGUGGCCUUCUUUCUUGUAUUGAAGUUGUUUUAGUUUAAGUUAUUAUUUUAACCUUUUAUUAAUGCAUGAACUUCUUUCUUGCAAUAAAAUUUGCCGAGCCCUUCAUCUUGGUCAAAAAUGUAAACCUCGGUUUUCCAAAAAGUGCCGGUGCGUCAAUGUGACGUCGCAGAUUUCAAACUAUCUUUCCCGAUUUGGGCCCCAUUGGCUCAGUAAAAGUGUGCGAAACUUGCCAGGUGCAAUCUUUACCUCCUUUAGAAUGCAAUGUAUAGUCAAUUUUUACCAAUAAGCAAUUAACCAGACUUUAACAGAUGCCGUCAAAAUCUGUGACAUAACGGCAAACUACUGCAUGAUCUUCAAGGCAGCAUCGACACCCAUUUUUUGUUCUUGGGGCUGUUCUGGCUUACCAAGCCACCUCUUGCAGUGUGUGAGUGGCUAUUUUUUAUUUUUUUUGAUACAGGUGACAUUUUUUCUCCUGAGUGUUCCUUUAAGUUACCCAAACGUGUGGCUCUUAGUUUUGUAGAGGUCGCUACUUGUGAGCCUUGUAUGCAGCAGCAAUAAGGGAGCACCACGGUAGGCCGGGUCUCAAUACGUAAGAGCCUGGAGAGAGGAAACAAACAUUAUUUGAUUUUUGUGCGCUAGUUGUUGACCUCGUCCCUCUGUUUUCGGACCGAACAUGGUGUGAGAAGUGGGACUAGAGCCCGUGCCCACAUAUGUGGACCAGAACUUGAGUCAUGAGUCAGAACUUGAGACCAGAACAAGUUUACGACAAUCUUAACUGGAACACUGUGGCAUUCCUUAGCAGACUUUUGGGGCAGAUGUCUCGAAAAUUCUGCGUCUUCAGAUUUUUACUAAGCUGGCAUGGCUUCACUUCGCCUUAGUUACAGUUUCGCAGUUACGUGUGCCUUAAGUGAACAAUUGAAAGUUAAAUUUGGCACACUUUAGGUAAUUCGGAAAGUUAUCGUUUAGAAUAUUCUUGCUACUAAUGUCUGCGUAGCAUUGUUGUUUUUAUGCAAAAAAAUUAAAAGGCAGGAGCCUCGGCUUCAGCUAGUGCAAGUGUUUGACGUCGUCCUUGAUUGACAUUACCCUGUAAGGACGAGACGCGAAAAUGCCCGAAGGAAAUGUUCAUUUUUCAUUGAAAUGUGCGAAAUACACCUAGAAUAAUGGUACCCAACGAAAAGAAAAAUUAUUUUGUGGAAACUUUUCCAGUAAUAGGUUUGUUGCCUGUGGGUAACAGCAGGCAAAACACUAGAAGCGAGCUUCACCCCAAGCCACAUAUGGCUUUGAGAGCAAUAUGCACUAGCAGUCCGCGUUAGCUGGGAAACAGGUGUACAUUGCAUUUCCUUUAUAUUAACUGUGUGAUAGUAUACCACUGCACCUGGGGAUUUCGCAUCAAUCUUUCUCCUGUGAUUGUGCGCUCAAAAGAAAGUGAGACGCACGCCAUACUUCUUCCUUGUCCUCUGUUCCUGCUCUGAUCGAACAAGCGACGCUUCCUGCUAUCAUUCAAUGUUGUCUGAAGACGUUUGACCAGAAUCUCUGUUCUGAAUGCAGAUACUAGGCAAGAAAGAAAAAGAAAUUGCAAUGCGAUUCAACCUUUAGCUGAAGUCUAUGAAAGACAAUGUCUUCCUGGGCCAGUUGGGGAUGGGAAUGGGACGUAUGAACCGUAUAAGUUAUUGUGACAGCCAAGCUGGAGUGACAUUUGAUUAAUGUCAACUGGAGGUUGAAUCCCCUCCCAACUUUUUGUCAUUAGUUAUCAUCAGUGCCAUCGCAAUCAUCAUAAGCAUCAUCAUCAUCAUUAAUCAGCGUGACUCAGAAUAAAUCGUGGUUCAUCUACAUCAUCAUUAGUUUUGUCACAUUUUUAGUGGUGUAGCCAGGGGUGGCACACAGGGCACGUGCCCCGGCAAAAAAAAAAAAAAAAUUGCCACACACACUUAUGACUGCUUACAUGUUGGAAUGCGAAAGCCUUUUUGUGAAAUGUUUUCGAUUGAUGUUUUUGACAUGCAUUAAAGUUGUUUCUGUUGAUUCUGUGUUUGCGUAUACGCAGGCCACAGCUUUGUGAGCAAGCAUGUCAGACAUCAGUUAAAGAAAUUGAGCGAUACGCCGUACGUGACAAUACAGAUCAGUUCAGUGGAGCAGGUCGCAAUGCGUGGGGAAGUUUGCAAACUAUUGAGCUCGUCUGAUAAAUUAGGUGUGCCAAAAAUUUAUUCGCUGAAAGCAUUAGUGCCGUCCGUUUUCCUCAUGCAUUUUAGGCAGCCGGCGGCACUGCAGGAAAGGCACAGCUUGCCUAUAAAAUAAAGCCAUUAAACCCAAAUAUACCAGCACAUUUCACAAGGACCACAGACGGUGUUGUAUUCAAAUUGAUUCGAUUUUUAUUCACUUUCUCUUUGCCACUGAUUGUUGACGUAACAAUAAACUUAU